CAUUUGCAUCCUGUUCAUUUACACAGUACCAACACCGAGGGACAAUUUUAGUGAAAUGGCGUUCACCAUGAAGACACUAGCGCCCUCAGUGCUGCUCCUUUCUAUUCUGCUGGCAAUCUCUUUCAGGAUUAACGCCGAGGCGCCUGAGCCGCAGUGCACGAAGGAAUCCGACAGGGGCAAUAUCUGCGUGAAGGAAUGCGCAGACGCAGAAGAAUGUCGCUGUAUCACUCCGCCAGAUAUCGAAUGCGUCAUAACCCCCUGCCUAUUCGCAACCUGCGUGGCAACGCCAGAAUGAUGUGUACGGCAUUUAUUUCACAGUCCGGUGUACAUGAUUUUAAAGCAAACUCAUCACCAAACAAAACAUUUAUUUUAGUUUCACUGGACAUGAAAACUAUAGAUUAAAAAUCACGUUUUUUGUUUAGGCGCUCUUAAAAGUUGUGUAAGAUGGAAACAAUGAGGAAAUGUUUCAGCAUGUUUUGAUUUGCUCAAAUACGAGCUCAAGAAUUAUGCUCCUGGCCCACGUAAAUGUCGACACAGUUCUACAAUACUUUAGAACCUGCCUACAUCCAUCGCACGCACAAACUUCGAGUGAUUCAUCUGCAUUAUUCAAUUGUUAAGGAAAAUAAACCUAAAAGGAACAGCAUUUAUCUCUAAACA